rnacentral:rRNA from 1 species
CCUACGGGAGGCAGCAGUGAGGAAUAUUGGUCAAUGGCCGUAAGGCUGAACCAGCCAAGUAGCGUGAAGGAAGACUGCCCUAUGGGUUGUAAACUUCUUUUAUACGGGAAUAAAGGUAUCCACGUGUGGAUAUUUGCAUGUACCCUAUGAAUAAGCAUCGGCUAAUUCCGUGCCAGCAGCCGCGGUAAUACGGAGGAUGCGAGCGUUAUCCGGAUUUAUUGGGUUUAAAGGGAGCGUAGGCUGGUUUUUAAGUGAGCGGUGAAAGUUUGGGGCUCAACCAUAAAAGUGCCGUUGAAACUGGAAGACUUGAGUAUGGUUGAGGUAGGCGGAAUUCGUGGUGUAGCGGUGAAAUGCUUAGAUAUCACGAAGAACUCCGAUUGCGAAGGCAGCUUACUAAGGCAUAACUGACACUGAAGCACGAAAGCGUGGGUAUCAAACAGGAUUAGAUACCCUAGUAGUC